UGCCUGAGUGGCGUUGUGUGAAAAGAAGCUGAUAAAACGUCAAUGGUGAUGCUCUGGAGGAAAGCCGCAAGGCCUGAAGGUAUCUUGGCCUUGGUUCUCUGAAAAAUGAAGACUUUGGAACUGUGAUGGAACCCUUGAUUGGUGGACAUUGCAUGGGACGUCCAAUAUAAAGUUCAGUAUAAAGACGGCAUUGUUCAACCUCCUGUACCAUUAAGCAUCAUCAUGUUACUAAGAGCUGGCCAACUGCAUAUGAUAGGAGGAGCACCCAGUGUCUUCAAAUUCUCUGCUUCGGAGCCCUGGGACACAGAAAUGCUCUUGCAUCGUGCUGGGUGUUGAGCAUUGUGGCAGACACUAAUUAUUGCUCCCAGAAUUUGCUCUACUUCAUCUCCAAAUAUUUGCUUCGCACACAACUGCUCAGAAUAGAAUUUCCAUUCCCAAGCUUUCCUUGUAGCCAUGUAUCUGAGUUACUGUUGUUGUAUAAUAAAUCACCU
ensembl:lncRNA